GCGGUAUGCUUAACACAUGCAAGUCGAACGGUAGCAGGCCUUCGGGCGCUGACGAGUGGCGGACGGGUGAGUAACACGUGGGAAUUUUCCUCAAGGUACGGAACAACUCAGGGAAACUUGGGCUAAUACCGUAUGAUGCAGAGGUGCCAAAGAUUUAUCGCCUUGGGAUAAGCCCGCGUCAGAUUAGGUAGUUGGUGGGGUAAUGGCCUACCAAGCCUGUGAUCUGUAGCUGGUCUGAGAGGACGAUCAGCCACAUUGGGACUGAGACACGGCCCAAACUCCUACAGGAGGCAGCAGUGGGGAAUCUUGCGCAAUGGACGAAAGUCUGACGCAGCCAUGCCGCGUGAAUGAUGAAGGUCUUAGGAUUGUAAAGUUCUUUAGCCUGUGACGAUGAUGACGGUAACAGGAGAAUAAGCCCCGGCUAACUUCGUGCCAGCCGCCGCAGUAAGAC
rnacentral:rRNA from 1 species